rnacentral:rRNA from 1 species
UGCAGUCGAGCGGACAGAAGGGAGCUUGCUCCCGGAUGUUAGCGGCGGACGGGUGAGUAACACGUGGGUAACCUGCCUGUAAGACUGGGAUAACUCCGGGAAACCGGAGCUAAUACCGGAUAGUUCCUUGAACCGCAGGUUCAAGGAUGAAAGACGGUUUCGGCUGUCACUUACAGAUGGACCCGCGGCGCAUUAGCUAGUUGGUGAGGUAACGGCUCACCAAGGCGACGAUGCGUAGCCGACCUGAGAGGGUGAUCGGCCACACUGGGACUGAGACACGGCCCAGACUCCUACGGGAGGCAGCAGUAGGGAAUCUUCCGCAAUGGACGAAAGUCUGACGGAGCAACGCCGCGUGAGUGAUGAAGGUUUUCGGAUCGUAAAGCUCUGUUGUUAGGGAAGAACAAGUGCAAGAGUAACUGCUUGCACCUUGACGGUACCUAACCAGAAAGCCACGGCUAACUACGUGCCAGCAGCCGCGGUAAUACGUAGGUGGCAAGCGUUGUCCGGAAUUAUUGGGCGUAAAGGGCUCGCAGGCGGUUUCUUAAGUCUGAUGUGAAAGCCCCCGGCUCAACCGGGGAGGGUCAUUGGAAACUGGGAAACUUGAGUGCAGAAGAGGAGAGUGGAAUUCCACGUGUAGCGGUGAAAUGCGUAGAGAUGUGGAGGAACACCAGUGGCGAAGGCGACUCUCUGGUCUGUAACUGACGCUGAGGAGCGAAAGCGUGGGGAGCGAACAGGAUUAGAUACCCUGGUAGUCCACGCCGUANACGAUGAGUGCUAAGUGUUAGGGGGUUUCCGCCCCUUAGUGCUGCAGCUAACGCAUUAAGCACUCCGCCUGGGGAGUACGGUCGCAAGACUGAAACUCAAAGGAAUUGACGGGGGCCCGCACAAGCGGUGGAGCAUGUGGUUUAAUUCGAAGCAACGCGAGAACCUUACCAGGUCUUGACAUCCUCUGACAACCCUAGAGAUAGGGCUUUCCCUUCGGGGACAGAGUGACAGUGUGCANGGUUGUCGUCAGCUCGUGUCGUGAGAUGUUGGGUAAGUCCCGCACGAGCGCACCCUUGAUCUUAGUGCCAGCAUUUA